rnacentral:lncRNA from 1 species
UGGAAUUGAGUUUGCAUGUCCCAGCAAAAGUAAGGAACUCCAUUUGGUGAUCUUGCAGAGGACCAUUGCCGACAAGGGAUAUUUUAGCUCAUAGAGAUGUACCUUUGAUUGCUAAUUGUUCUUUCUGUGGUCAUCUGGAAACCGCUCUUCAUGCUCUUACGAAUUGUGAAAGAUCAUCUAUAUAUGUGUUGGGUUAUGCAUGGUUUUUCUUCACCUGAUGGAUCAUGUCG